ACGCUGAAGCCCGAGCUUGCUCGGGUGGAUGAGUGGCGAACGGGUGAGUAACACGUGAGUAACCUGCCCUUCACUCUGGGAUAAGCGCUGGAAACGGCGUCUAAUACUGGAUAUGAGCAACGGUCGCAUGGCCUGUUGUUGGAAAGAUGUUUCGGUGGAGGAUGGGCUCGCGGCCUAUCAGCUUGAUGGUGAGGUAGUGGCUCACCAUGGCGACGACGGGUAGCCGGCCUGAGAGGGUGACCGGCCACACUGGGACUGAGACACGGCCCAGACUCCUACGGGAGGCAGCAGUGGGGAAUAUUGCACAAUGGGCGCAAGCCUGAUGCAGCAACGCCGCGUGAGGGAUGACGGCCUUCGGGUUGUAAACCUCUUUUGUCAGGGAAGAAGCCUUUGGGUGACGGUACCUGGAGAAAAAGCACCGGCUAACUACGUGCCAGCAGCCGCGGUAAUACGUAGGGUGCAAGCGUUGUCCGGAAUUAUUGGGCGUAAAGAGCUCGUAGGCGGCUUGUCGCGUCUGCUGUGAAAACCCGGGGCUCAACCCCGGGCCUGCAGUGGGUACGGGCAGGCUAGAGUGCGGUAGGGGAGAUUGGAAUUC
rnacentral:rRNA from 1 species